UCCCCGUUGGCCGGGGCAGUCUCGCCUGAAAUUGUAACAGACGAUAAGGGUUGCGCUCGUUAAUGGACUUAACCAAACAUCUCACGACACGAGCUGACGACGGCCAUGCAACACCUGUCACUGCGCUCCCGAAGGCACUCCGUUGUUUCCAACAGAUUCGCAGGAUGUCAAGCCUGGGUAAGGUUCUUCGCGUAGCAUCGAAUUAAACCACAUCAUCCACCGCUUGUGCGGGUCCCCGUCAAUUCCUUUGAGUUUUAAGCUUGCGCUCGUACUCCCCAGGCGGGAUGCUUAACGCGUUAGCUUCGCAGCCCAAGGGGUCGAUACCUCGAACUACUAGCAUCCAUCGUUUACGGCGUGGACUAC
rnacentral:misc_RNA from 1 species